rnacentral:rRNA from 1 species
UUAGAUUGUCCCUGAGGUAACGGCUCACCAAGUCUUCGAUGGAUAGGGGUUCUGAGAGGAAGGUCCCCCACAUUGGAACUGAGACACGGUCCAAACUCCUACGGGAGGCAGCAGUGAGGAAUAUUGGUCAAUGGACGAGAGUCUGAACCAGCCAAGUAGCGUGAAGGAUGAAGGCCCUAUGGGUCGUAAACUUCUUUUAUAGGGGAAUAAAGUGCGGAACGUGUUCCGCUUUGUAUGUACCCUACGAAUAAGGAUCGGCUAACUCCGUGCCAGCAGCCGCGGUAAUACGGAGGAUCCGAGCGUUAUCCGGAUUUAUUGGGUUUAAAGGGAGCGUAGGUGGACGUAUAAGUCAGUUGUGAAAGUUUGCGGCUCAACCGUAAAAUUGCAGUUGAUACUGUAUGUCUUGAGUGUACAAGAGGUGGGCGGAAUUCGUGGUGUAGCGGUGAAAUGCUUAGAUAUCACGAAGAACUCCGAUUG